CAAUUAAUUAAAGGAAUCAGGGAUUUAAUUGAAGAAAUACCAAAGUUUGGAGCUGAUUCAAGGAAGAUUGCUAGAAAAUUAAAGUCCAAGGACCAAAUUGAAUAGUCCAGAAACCCAGGACUGUUAUGUAAAUGGCGCUAUAACUCAGGGAUUCAAAUUGAAUCUAAUCCAAGGGCACAAUUAGAAAUUAAUUAUGACUGAUUAAGAUCCCAAUUGUUGAGUUUAAAACGUUCAGGGGUCAAAAUGAAAAUGUCCAUUGCUGCCGAAACGUUGCCGUUGCUGGUGGAACAAUCGUGUUCAUCUUCUCCAUCCCGAUUCAACAGGCUGAAAAUCUGCAACGGAUUCGAUCCAAUCGUGGAUCACGUCUCUCGCCCACGAUCUCGUUCGUGGCAAAUAACAGUCCUGCAAAGGCAGGACUGGUUAAAGGAGGCAGCUUGGGAAUCUCUAUAAAAGGGAGAAGGAAACCUGGAAAAAGGGACCAAAAAAAGAGAAAACGAGAGCAAAAACAGAGAGCAGAAAUACAAAGCAAAAAAACCAAAACACAGAAAAGAGAAGGAAAAGUAAAGGAGCAGGACAGAUAGGAGUAUUGGCUUAGCCAUUGCUUUUGUCCCUGCAGGCAAAGGAAAGACCCGGAAUCAGUCAGAGAAAACCGGUAUACCCAUUACCUUCUUAGUUCGUUCAUCUCAAGAACUGAGCAAACACAGUGCGCCAUCGUUUUCAGCUA
rnacentral:lncRNA from 1 species